CGGUGAAUAGCGCAGUUUGGUAGCGCAUCUGGUUUGGGACAGAGGGUCGGGGUUCGAAUCCCUCUUCACCGACCA
rnacentral:tRNA from 1 species